AACCUGGUUGAUCCUGCCAGUAGUCAUAUGCUUGUCUCAAAGAUUAAGCCAUGCAUGUCUAAGUUCACACUGUUUGACGGUGAAACCGCGAAUGGCUCAUUAAAUCAGUCGAGGUUCCUUAGAUGACACGAUCCUACUUGGAUAACUGUGGCAAUUCUAGAGCUAAUACAUGC
rnacentral:rRNA from 1 species